AACGAACGCUGGCGGCAUGCCUAACACAUGCAAGUCGAACGAGACCUCCGGGUCUAGUGGCGCACGGGUGCGUAACGCGUGGGAACCUGCCCUUAGGUUCGGAAUAACUCCCCGAAAGGGGUGCUAAUACCGGAUAAUCUCUUCGGACCAAAGAUUUAUCGCCUUUGGAUGGGCCCGCGUUGGAUUAGCUAGUUGGUAGGGUAAAAGCCUACCAAGGCGACGAUCCAUAGCUGGUCUGAGAGGAUGAUCAGCCACACUGGGACUGAGACACGGCCCAGACUCCUACGGAAGGCAGCAGUGGGGAAUAUUGGACAAUGGGCGAAAGCCUGAUCCAGCAAUGCCGCGUGAGUGAUGAAGGCCUUAGGGUUGUAAAGCUCUUUUACCCGGGAUGAUAAUGACAGUACCGGGAGAAUAAGCACCGGCUAACUCCGUG
rnacentral:rRNA from 1 species